rnacentral:tRNA from 1 species
AGGAUUAUAGUUUAAAUUAUAAAACUUUUGAUUUGCAAUCAAAGAAUAUUAUAUAUAAUAAUUUAUCUUA